GAGGAGUCUGUGGCGGCUGCGUCCGACAGGAGAACUUGACCCGUGAGAGCUGUGAGAAUUUGGAAUCAUCAACACAAAGUGGAACGGUGUACGUGGAGUUCAACAGGAUUGUCAGCAAGAACUUAAAGCAGAAAUUAUAUGAAAGCAUUGAGGGGCACAGUCUGUGCCACAUUCAAAUAUUUUGAUCCAAGAGAGGGAACGGUGGGCAGCUGUUCACAGUUCUCACAAGAGACCAAGGACUCUGAGGAUGAGGACUUGUUCCACCACUUUGACUUUGGGAUCCUCCUUGUCGAGCAUGAAGGUGCUGGGCUCUCAUCUUCCCUGCAUCUCAGUUCAUCCUCACUGAAGAUCCUCAUCGAGGGAGAAGUUGUGAUGGGUAACAUUAGAGACCUGCCAAAGGCUAUGUGUAUUCUGUGUUGACUACCAUACGCACUUCUCAA